AACGAACGCUGGCGGCAUGCCUAACACAUGCAAGUCGAACGAGACCUUCUGGUCUAGUUGCUCACGAGUGCGUCACGCGUGGGAACCUUCCCUUAGGCUCGGAAUAACUCCCCGACAGGGAUGCUAAUACCGGAUAAUGUCUUCUGACCAAAGAUUUAUCGCCUUUUGAUGCGCCCGCGUUGGAUUAGCUAGUUGGUAGGGUAAAAGCCUACCAAGGCGACGAUCCAUAGCUGGUCUGAGAGGAUGAUCAGCCACACUGGGACUGAGACACGGCCCGGAAGCAUACGGGAGGAAGCAGUGGGGAAUAGUGGAAAAUGGGUGGAAGGCUGAUCCAGCAAUGAUGCGUGAGUGAUGAAGGCCUUAGGGUUGUAAAGCUGUAUUACCCGGGAUGAUAAUGACAGUACCGGGAGAAUAAGCUCCGGCUAACUCCGUG
rnacentral:rRNA from 1 species